rnacentral:rRNA from 1 species
UACGUAGGGGGCAAGCGUUGUCCGGAAUCAUUGGGCGUAAAGAGCGUGUAGGCGGCUCGGUAAGUCCGCUGUGAAAGUCCAGGGCUCAACCCUGGAAUGCCGGUGGAAACUGUCGAGCUAGAGUCCGGAAGAGGCGAGUGGAAUUCCUGGUGUAGCGGUGAAAUGCGCAGAUAUCAGGAGGAACACCAAUGGCCAAAGCACUCUGCUGGGCCGACACUGACACUGAGAGACGAAAGCUAGGGGAGCGAAUGGG